rnacentral:lncRNA from 1 species
GACGUUUCAACUUCUAGAUAGGUUUUCCGUAAUUGUCACUUCUUUCACAUCUCAUUGUAACAAAUUUCGUUCUUCUAUCACAACCAAAACCUAGCCUCCCAAUUACAAUAUCGAACCUCAAUUUUGUAGCCUUAGUGCGGAUCUAUUGGAGCAUAUGUUCACAAACAGCAAACUCCUAUUUCUUUGAAAAUUAUUUACCAACAUC